rnacentral:rRNA from 1 species
GACGAACGCUGGCGGCGUGCCUAAUACAUGCAAGUAGAACGCUGAAGCGAGGAGCUUCCUCUUCUUGGAUGAGUUGCGAACGGGUGAGUAACGCGUAGGUAACCUGCCUUGUAGCGGGGGAUAACUAUUGGAAACGAUAGCUAAUACCGCAUAACAAUGGAUGACACAUGUCAUUUAUUUGAAAGGGGCAAUUGCUCCACUACAAGAUGGACCUGCGUUGUAUUAGCUAGUAGGUGAGGUAAUGGCUCACCUAGGCGACGAUACAUAGCCGACCUGAGAGGGUGAUCGGCCACACUGGGACUGAGACACGGCCCAGACGCCUACGGGAGGCAGCAGUAGGGAAUCUUCGGCAAUGGGGGCAACCCUGACCGAGCAACGCCGCGUGAGUGAAGAAGGUUUUCGGAUCGUAAAGCUCUGUUGUAAGUCAAGAACGGGUGUGAGAGUGGAAAGUUCACACUGUGACGGUAGCUUACCAGAAAGGGACGGCUAACUACGUG